rnacentral:tRNA from 1 species
GACUAGAGCCCCACUAUCAACACCCAAAGCUGAAG